rnacentral:rRNA from 1 species
GAUGAACGCUGGCGGCGUGCCUAAUACAUGCAAGUCGAACGCUGAAGGAAGGAGCUUGCUCUUUCCGGAUGAGUUGCGAACGGGUGAGUAACGCGUAGGUAACCUGCCUGGUAGCGGGGGAUAACUAUUGGAAACGAUAGCUAAUACCGCAUAACAGUAGAUGUUGCAUGAUAUCUACUUAAAAGGUGCAAUUGCACCACUACCAGAUGGACCUGCGUUGUAUUAGCUAGUUGGUGAGGUAACGGCUCACCAAGGCGACGAUACAUAGCCGACCUGAGAGGGGGAUCGGCCACACUGGGACUGAGACACGGCCCAGACUCCUACGGGAGGCAGCAGUAGGGAAUCUUCGGCAAUGGACGGAAGUCUGACCGAGCAACGCCGCGUGAGUGAAGAAGGUUUUCGGAUCGUAAAGCUCUGUUGUAAGAGAAGAACGAGUGUGAGAGUGGAAAGUUCACACUGUGACGGUAUCUUACCAGAAAGGGACGGCUAACUACGUG